rnacentral:misc_RNA from 1 species
GAUGAAGAACGCAGCGAAAUGCGAUAAGUAAUGUGAAUUGCAGAAUUCAGUGAAUCAUCGAAUCUUUGAACGCACCUUGCACCCUUUGGCAUUCCGAAGGGUAUGCUCGUUUGAGUGUCAUUGUACUCUCACACUUCCGAUCUUUGGAUUGGGAGCGGUGGACUUGGGUGUUGCUGCUUACUGUGGCUCACCUCAAAUCGAUUCGUGCACCUCUUGGUUGGACAUAGUACGGCGUGAUAAGUGUCUUCGCCGGCACCUCAGUAGAGGGUGGCUGAUCGGGAGCUCUGCUUCAAACCGUCCUCGGACAACAACUGACAACUUGACCUCAAAUCGAGUAGGACUACCCGCUGAACUUAAGCAUAUCAAUAAGCGGAGG